GCGACCUGACGAGGGAACCAGCAGCAACCCAAGACACGGAGACGGGAAGCACACGAUCCAUACGGCCGAGAAGAGAGAGACGGCCCAACCACAAGUUCAGCGGGCCGCAGUGGGUCUCAUAUAUGUUCGAGCCCAAGGCUGUGUGAGUACUUAGUCACACCUGUAGUUGGUGAGUAGGGUAUCCAGGGGAUCAGGACUGAACCCGGCGGCGGCAGCGUGUGUGUGUUGCGUGUGUAUCUGGAGAGCCCGUCUUCCGCCUCUAGCUGUGUACCUCCAUCGCUACAAUUCGCCUUAGAUCGAGAGUAGUAUCAGAGUGGGUUGCUAUCACGUGGUAUCAGAGGCCACACACCACCCCGCCGUCGCGCUGGAGACGCGCCAGCAAGCGAGCGCUCGCGUCCAACUUUUCGCAACCAUGGAUCCGGCUCUCAAAUCGUACCUCGACAAGUUCACGGAGACGCUUACCAAAGCCAGCGACGACACGCGUGCGGACAUCAAGGAACUCAAGGCGCAGAUUGGCGUCCAGACGGCGCAAGUGGAGGAGCUCGUGGCGUGGAAACCCGACCUCGAGGCGCGGUUCUCCAAGCUCCAGGAGGCUGUUUCGUUGUUGCAAGCGGCGCCGCCCACGUCGGCGUCCGCGAUCUCUGGUGGAUUGGCGGCACCGGACCUCCCUGAUCCGGUCGCGCGGGACGAGAUCCACGGGCCCGAUGGCCACGGCGUCCUGCAACACCCACGGAGCGGGCUGUUGGGGGGAAUUCUUCCCUGACGGCCACUCCGGCCAAUGAAUGAUGUGGUAUCUUGUCGUCUGGUGGUGGUUGAUCUGGUUCUAUUGGUGGAUCCUUUUCUUCGUGGUCUGUGCAAGAUUCUUGGGCGACGGCGUGUCUGCUGACAUCCAUAACCUUUUUGUGUUUACUGGAUAUAUCAAUAACUUCAUGCUCUUUUGUGGUUGUCGCAUGCAUAAUAUGUUCUUUUGGCUUGGGAUUUGGCGGAAACUCUUCUAGUACGCAA